AGACGUCUACAUUAGAUACCCGCGUAGUCCCAGCCGUAAACUAUGCGCGUUAGGUGUAUCGGUGACCACGAGUUACCGAGGUGCCGAAGGGAAACCGUGAAACGUGCCGCCUGGGAAGUACGGUCGCAAGGCUGAAACUUAAAGGAAUUGGCGGGGAGCACCGCAACGGGAGGAGCGUGCGGUUUAAUUGGAUUCAACACCGUAAAACUCACCAGGGAAGACUGUUACAUGAAAGCCGAGUUGAAGACUCUGCUAGAUUUUCAG
rnacentral:rRNA from 1 species